rnacentral:rRNA from 1 species
GUGAAAUAGAACCUGAAACCAUUUGCUUACAAUCAUUCAGAGCCCUAUGAUUUAUCAGGGUGAUGGACUGCCUUUUGCAUAAUGAGCCUGCGAGUUGUGAUGUCUGGCAAGGUUAAGGAAACCCGGAGCCGUAGCGAAAGCGAGUCUUAAUAGGGCGUCAAGUCAGAUGUUGCAGACCCGAAACGAAGUGAUCUAUCCAUGAGCAGGUUGAAACCGGUGUAAGAGCCGGCGGAGGACCCAACCCAUUGACGUUGAAAAGUCCUGGGAUGACUUGUGGAUAGGGGUGAAAGGCCAAUCAAACUUCGUGAUAGCUGGUUCUCUCCGAAAUAUAUUUAGGUAUAGCGUUAUGUAGUAACUAAAGGGGGUAGAGCACUGAAUGGGCUAGGGCAUACACCAAUGUACCAAACCCUAUCAAACUCCGAAUACCUUUAGUGUAAUCAUAGCAGUCAGGCGACGAGUGAUAAAAUCCGUCGUCGAGAGGGGAACAACCCAGACUACCGACUAAGGUCCCAAAAUCUUAUUUAAGUGGAAAACGAUGUGAAGUUACUGAAACAACCAGGAGGUUGGCUUAGAAGCAGCCAUCCUUUAAAGAUAGCGUAAUAGCUCACUGGUCUAGUGAUUUUGCGCGGAAAAUAUAACGGGGCUAAAAUAAGUACCGAAGUCGUAGAUUUGCACACUUGUGUGCAAGUGGUAGGAGAGCGUUCUAUUCAGCGUUGAAGGUGUACCGGUAAGGAGCACUGGAGCGGAUAGAAGUGAGCAUGCAGGCAUGAGUAGCGAUAAUUAAUGUGAGAAUCAUUAACGCCGAAAACCCAAGGUUUCCUACGCGAUGCUCGUCAUCGUAGGGUUAGUCGGGUCCUAAGCAAAGUCCGAAAGGGGUAUGCGAUGGAAAAUUGGUUAAUAUUCCAAUACCAAUUAUUAUGUGCGAUGGAAGGACGCUUAAAGUUAGUGGAGCUAGCUGAUGGAAUAGCUAGUCGAAGGAUGUAGAUUGAGUUAUAGGCAAAUCCGUAACUCUUUAUUCGAGAUCUUACAGGCUUACAAAACUCUUCGGAGUGGAGUAUGAAUCCAUGAUACUAUCGAGCCAAGAAAAGUUUCUAAGUUUAGUAAUAAUUGCCCGUACCGUAAACCGACACAGGUGGGUGGGAUGAGUAUUCUAAGGCGCGUGGAAGAACUCUCUUUAAGGAACUCUGCAAAAUAGCACCGUAUCUUCGGUAUAAGGUGUGCCUACUAAGGUAUUAGGAUUUACUCUGAAAGCCUUAAAGGUUACAACAAAGAGUCCCUUCCGACUGUUUACCAAAAACACAGCACUCUGCUAACACGUAAGUGGAUGUAUAGGGUGUGACGCCUGCCCGGUGCGAUCGAAGCCCGAGUAAACGGCGGCCGUAACUAUAACGGUCCUAAGGUAGCGAAAUUCCUUGUCGGUUAAAUACCGACCUGCAUGAAUGGCGUAACGAGUUGGGAGCUGUCUCAAAGAGGGAUCCAGUGAAAUUGUAGUGGAGGUGAAAAUUCCUCCUACCCGCGGCAAGACGGAAAGACCCCGUGGACCUUUACUAUAGCUUGACACUGCUAUUGGGAUAAAAAUGUGCAGGAUAGGUGGGAGGCUUUGAUCUAUAGACGCCAGUUUAUAGUGAGCCAUUGUUGAGAUACCACUCUUUUUUAUUCUGAUAGCUAACUAGCAUGAGUUAUCCUCAUGUAGGACAAUGUCUGGUGGGUAGUUUGACUGGGGCGGUCGCCUCCCAAAUAAUAACGGAGGCUUACAAAGGUUGGCUCAAAACGGUUGGAAAUCGUUUGUAGAGUAUAAAGGCAUAAGCCAGCUUAACUGCAAGACCUACAAGUCGAGCAGAGACGAAAGUCGGUCUUAGUGAUCCGGUGGUUCUGUGUGGAAGGGCCAUCGCUCAAAGGAUAAAAGGUACCCCGGGGAUAACAGGCUGAUC